AACAGCAGUAUUUUAUACCUUAAAGGAUUGCAGCAGGAUUUUGCCAUCACAUACAAAAGCACAGCUUCUUUCUGAAUUGGUGAAAAACUUGGGCAGGUUUACAGGGAAGAUCACAGAAACCAUCACUGCCUGAGGUCCUAGCAGACGGGAACAGAGGCCUAGAGGGGCUAAUCCUGAAAUGCAUUGAGAAGAUUUCACGGGAAAUUAGACCCCACAUGACUUGAGAACCUGCUGGGGAGAGAAGUGACUUUCAGGGAUCAUAUAGGAAGCUAGUAGGCGCAAAAGGGAACUGAAAUAGUCUCCCAAAUUUCAGACAGUGCAGUCUUCGUUCUCUCUGAGCACUGUGUUGUAGACAGGGGUCACUGGCUUAUGCACCACCUGAUUUCAAUGAGGCUCAGCUUACAGGUGGCAGCAGGUCAGCUGUGAAUUUUUGUUUCUUUUUUUUAAGCAAAAUGACUAAUACUAAAUUUUAGAUUCCCUUAGGUAGUAAAAUGUAGUACAUGGACUUAAGCUAACAAGGCUCAAGAGUAUCUAAAUCCCUGUUUAAGUCCCACUUGCCUUUCUAAUAACUAUAAUCCCGCACUGAAUAGAUUGUCGCUUCCGAUUUGGUGAUAUCCGCUGACUAAACAUUGGUUCCUAAAUUGUUCUAUUUUCUCUGCAGUGUUUUUUCAAGAUUGUGAAUGUUUUCAUUCCUUGAAGAGAGUGGGGUGGGAACCACUCUGUUGUUUCCUGAGGGGGGGGAAACUUACCCAAAUUGCCUUUCAAGAACAGAAGCUGUACAACUUUUUUGGUUGUUUUUAUGGGCUCCUCCAGCAGUUAAAAAUGUGGCUGACUCCUUCUAACCCCAUCAUUUCCUCUCCUGUCAAACCCAAAUAUUUCUCCUAGAUCCUAUCAAACCAUUUCUAUGUAGUGUGACAGCAUCUAUAAUUCUGAAGUAUUUAUAAGACUGUCUGUUUAAUAUUAAACUACAUGUUCUAGAGCUGUUAAAUAUUUAUACUAUGUAAAAUGGAUCUAAUUUCACAGCACCGCAGCUGGUUAGAGAACUGCAUAAGAAAAAGAAGAUGAAUUUAAGAUAACAGAUGAGUGGCCAGGAUCUUUUACAGAUAACUGACAAAACAGUUACAGAGUAGGAGAGCUGGGGCAGCCUUCCACUUUUGAUCUCCAAAUGCACACAAACUCAGGUCCAUCAGGCAGCUGCAACAGAACAGAUGUGAAGAUGAGCGGUUAACAGCGCUCAUUAGGGUAUGAAGGACUUGGAUGGAAAUGAACUCCAGAGAUAAGUCUGCCUUACUGCUCUGCGGUGGUAUGCUAAUGUGGACUCCUGAAGUUAGUGAAGAUGUGGGUCUCUGAAGCCCUCAAAACUUUGUGCCUGAGUCUGCCCCUGUAUGUAUAAUUCUGCCAGAUACUGAUGGGCUCAGAAUUAAGGUGGUGGGAUUUUUAGUGCCAUAGAAGAUGUGGCUAACAGCAUACUCUUAUGUCCACUGAAAUAAUGGAGGAAAGAGGAAGUGGAGGGUCUUGCUUUUUUCUUGGCAUGAUUGAAUGGGAAAGGGGAUAAAACGUGACAUAAAAAGCAGGUAUUAUCUAAUUAAAUCUUUAAACAGAAAAUCCUGUGGAACCUCCUGAUGCCACUUGAUUAGAUACAUACUUCUUACCCUCCCAAAUAACUGCCUCAUGAUACAGCUCUUUUCAUCAACCUCUAA